CCCCUGAUCGUCUAGCGGUUAGGAUUCCUGGCUCUCACCCAGGCGGCCCGGGUUCAACUCCAGGUCAGGUAG
rnacentral:tRNA from 1 species